rnacentral:rRNA from 1 species
UACGUAGGGGGCAAGCGUUGUCCGGAUUUAUUGGGCGUAAAGAGCGUGUAGGCGGUCUGGUAGGUCCGUUGUGAAAACUCGAGGCUCAACCUCGAGACGCCGAUGGAAACCCUCAGACUAGAGUCCGGAAGAGGAGAGUGGAAUUCCUGGUGUAGCGGUGGAAUGCGCAGAUAUCAGGAGGAACACCAAUAGCGAAGGCAGCUCGCUGGGACGGUACUGACGCUAAGGCGCGAAAGCGUGGGGAGCGAACAGG